UACGUAGGGACCAAGCGUUGUUCGGAUUUACUGGGCGUAAAGGGCUCGUAGGCGGCCAACUAAGUCAGACGUGAAAUCCCUCGGCUUAACCGGGGAACUGCGUCUGAUACUGGAUGGCUUGAGUUUGGGAGAGGGAUGCGGAAUUCCAGGUGUAGCGGUGAAAUGCGUAGAUAUCUGGAGGAACACCGGUGGCGAAGGCGGCGUUCUGGACUGUCUCUGACACUGAAGAACGAAAGCCAGGGGAGCAAACGGG
rnacentral:rRNA from 1 species